CUCUCUCAAGGCAGUAAAAGGGAGCAGUCGAGGUAAAACUCACCUGGUUUGUACUCUUUCACUCAGGCAUCACUGACCUGUGCUUCCUAUUGUCCAAUGUCUGGAAACUAGUGCUUCAUAUGUUUGGUCUGUUUUGUAAAGUUACUUAAGGUGAAAGGGUAAAUCUGGUCCCUGAUACUCCAUCAGGGUCAGAAGUAGAAGCUUGCAGUAGACUUUUAAUAAAGGUACACAGACAGUGCUCUAUAUUAUAUUUAAAAUAGAAUCUCAUUUUGUUUCCACAGCUGUGCUUCUAGAAACAUAUUCUAUCUUCAGAAUCAAACUGGCGUCAGUGCUGAGAUCUAAGCCACAAGCUCAUGCUAGGAGAAAUAUUCUUACCUUGAAAAAACACAUACAAUUUAUUAAAUCAAAGAAAUCAGCAACAGCUGUGUGGAAGAUAAAGAUAAAGAAGAAAUAAUUUGUGGAAGAAAUAUUUUGGGACAGUACACUUUCCUCCUCUGGCAACUUUCCCUUAAUACAUACAAAAGAAAGAAAUGGGUCAGCAUCCCCACUCCGGAAUGGUUGCGUAAGCAAGAGGAGUCUUUUAAAGUGUGGAUUCCUAGCCUGUCUGUACAGGGUCUACGCCAGAGCAUCUGUACUUGGUUGGAGCAGAGUUCAGGAAAUAUCAACAACAACAAUAAAUCGGCAUCUUUGAAGUCAAUAUCUUUUUUGAAAACUAGAAUUGAUGAUGGCGUGAUAUGGCCAGUAUGUCUGGUCAAAACACAAGUGUUCCCUCAGAGAAAAGCAGCUGCAACUAUAAAACGCACUUUUGAAAAAGAAAAAAAGAAAAAAAAAAGAAUGAAGUAACUUCUGAGCAAGUUUUCCUCGGCAAGAAUACUUAAUUUGUGGCAUCACUCUAAAAAUUAGCAAAUUAAGAACGCUUGUUUACAUUUAAAAACCAGAACUGAUGAUACUGACAUUAAAUAAGCACUUUGGGUGCAGGUUGUUGAAUGGGUGGGUUGCUGGAGCGCUGGCAAUCCCAGUGUGGGCUUUCCGCCCUUGGGCUGUCCAAUUACACUGGCAAACAAGAUAGGUAAGAAGCAAGCAAAAGCCAUCUGGGCAAUAUGUCUUCUUAAUUUAAGGUUGGUUUUUGUUUGUUUUGUAAUUCUAACCUCUAGUUUUACCUUUAUUUGAUCCUUCAGCUAGGGAACGUGAAUUGGUUUGGGUUUGUCCUUGUUUGAAAUCUAUGUACAUACAACAAAGAAAAUUAAUGUAGAAAGAGUAUUUCCUGUUACUGAAGGUUUCUUUUCUCUCUCUCCCUUUCUCUCUCUUUCUCUCUUUCUUCCUUUCUUUCCUUCUUUCAAUAGCAAAUCUCUCUUGUAAUUAUUCACUGAUCAUUUCAGAAGCAUCGUGUGAAUUAUACCAAUGGUAAUUCCUUUAGAAAGAUAAAAUUUUUAGGUUUUUGCCAAUUGAAGUAUUCAGUGUAAAAACAGAUUUCUCCAAAUGUAGCAAAUUGUUGGUUCAUUUACUAACCAUGUUUGUUUCAUGUAUUUGCAUUUGCCAGACAAACACUGAGAAUAUAUAUUUUAAUUUUAUUGCAAAACUACCAUUUCAAGGCAUACCGUGAAAUUAUAAUUUAUGUUCCUGAGAUUUUUGUAGUUUUAGAAUGAUCAUUUCAAUUUAGCCCUGGGUACCUUAUACCAUUAUGCUAGGAACACUUCCAGUUUAAACAUAUAUAAUUUAUUUUUAACAGAUUUUGCUUGGAGUACACAAAUGAAAUGUAACAGUCAUUACAGAGAUUGUCUUGGUUCAUUUACUAAACAUGAAUCCGUGUUCUCUAUUUCCCUUGUUCUGUGCAUGACUCCCUGGCUGGGCUUCUAUUCCCUGCUUUGAUGCAAAUUGCAGGUUGAAGGGGACUCUGAGCAUGAAGUCCCUUUUAGGUGACAUUCUUGGCAAAUGGGAUGUGUGUGUCACUCAGAUAUUCUGUAUUUUUAGAUAGUUCUUUCUGAAAAAUCCAAUUUAUAAAUGGAUCCUUCCUCCAUUCCUAGCCACCUUACACAUAGAAUCCCUCUUUACUUCAAAACCCCCAAACGACCGCCUUGAUGUUGAGACUUUCUUUCUGGAAGAUGAUGAUUCCAUUUUUUUGAAGUUAUUUUACCUUUAUUUUGAAAAACGUAUUCAAACUCAACUUCUAAUGAGAGUCCUCCUUUUCUCUCAAGCAGCACAGAUCAAGCAAAGGUGGAGAUUCUGUGUGCCAUAGCUCCAUGGGUUUUUCAGCAGGAAUUAUGUGCAGCAUUGACUAUAUAUAAAUUUAAAUAAUGUAAAAACACUUUGUGAUAGCCUUUGUAUUGAACCUAUGCCCAGCAGGUUUUGGCCUCCCAAUAUUUACACUGAGUUUGAAUUACCUUUGCACACCAAAUCUUUGUGGCUUUCUAUGUAUUGUCAAGCUUAGUACAGCUGGUGUACAAAAUAUUUCCUUUUUUUAGAGAAUGUUAGAAGAGUGUUUGAGGAAGGUCUCCCAGUGUAAAGCUGUUUGUUGUGUGCACAGAUUUUAUGCUAUUUGAAACUGGAAUUAGGUAAAGCAGUUAUCGGGAGUGUAACUGAGUUUUUUGGAUUCAGCAAAAGGCGGGGCUCACAAAUUAGGUUUUCAUCAGAAGGGAAUAAAAGUCUCCAGGGGAUUAAGGUAGCA
ensembl:lncRNA